rnacentral:misc_RNA from 1 species
UGCUUUUUUGGCACAAAGAUGAAGGUAUUUCCUCUCAAUGAUUAUUGUUAAUUCAAUUUUAUCCUAAAAUUUAGUAAAUGGCCCACCAGUUCUGGACUUGUGAAUAUUUAUAUAGCAAGCAGAUCUAGCAUUUUUGCAUUUUGGAGUUAAAAAAAACCCAGAAGAGAUCAAAUUUGGGAAUCAGAGAUUAAUGUUGGAUAUUUUAUAUGGUGCAUUGUUGAUCAACUCUGUUUAGAAGUUUCUCUAACUGUUCAAUACUAAUUGGGAUUCAUGAUUCAUCAAGAUGAUUGAUGCUUUUCUGAUUUAUGACUACAUGCCAAAAAUGGCAGUAGUGACUUGCUAGCUGACCCAAAACAGAAAAAUUUUAGGAGAUGAACUCUAGAAUUUGAAGUAGAUGGAACUGAUUGUCUUGGUAUUGUGCACGUGUGUUCACUGUGAAGGGGAAAACAAUCCAACAUUGUCAUCAACAAAACAUGCAUCAUAUGAAUUCCUAGUGAUGGCUGUAAUUCUGAGAACUUCUAUAGUGCAGUUUGUUCACAUGUAUAUUCUUGUAAUCAUGAGUUUUAGAACAAUUUUUGCAAUCUAGAAUGGAUCAGAUUUUUCCUGACCUAAUGUGAAUAUUCUAUGCUACAACUAAAAGUGACUUAAGGUCCAGAGGAAAAAAUAAAUUCUGUUUUUAUUUGAUAUUCAAAAUGCCCUUGGUGCAAUUGUCAAUAGCCUCCUUGUUAUGCAAGGGGAAGGCUAAAUGAAUUUAACCUGCCCAAGAGUAUCUGUGAUAUCCCAACAAACUUGUAAACGAUAAACGUUGUAGACACCCAUGCUUAAUUUGAUAAAAUCAAUCCAAAUUUGUUCUCUAUUUCGUCAAAACACUAAUUUCUAUCGUAGUUAGCAAAUUCAAUGGAAACUUAAAUUUUUCUUGGACCAAAUUUGAACUAGUUAUAUUAAGCUUGAUGUAAGAUUGUGUUGCAAAUAUAAUUUUUUGGAGAGGAAUUCUGAUAUGUAAGGAAUAGGCUAGUAAUCAUAAAUCCUUCGAUCUGUGUAAAAAACACUGUAAUUUAGAUCAUUUGUUCACUUGUUCGAGCUUAGUUAUCUAUCACAGUUGAAGUGAAUAUCUUGUGCAUAACUUUGAAUUGAAUUAUUCCUUUCCCAAUAUAUUUUCGAAGACCUGUGGCACCCAUUACAACCAUCACUGCCACCCACAGAGAGAAUGAAAGAAUGGUGCUUUCAAUGUCUACUACUUGUGGGAUGCCCUCACAUUGAUAUUUGAUGAGUGUGCAUGAGUAGUUUUCCCCCCUCCUUUUCUUUUUUUUCAAACUAACUUUGGGCUUUUCAUGCAUGGCAUGUAUCAAACUCUUGAAUCAGAGGAAUCAUGGCUUUCAA